UUGUAGUCAUAUGCUUGUCUCAAAGAUUAAGCCAUGCAUGUCUAAGUAUAAGCAAUUAUACCGUGAAACUGCGAAUGGCUCAUUAAAUCAGUUAUCGUUUAUUUGAUAGUACCUUACUACUUGGAUAACCGUGGUAAUUCUAGAGCUAAUACAUGCUAAAAACCCCAACUUCGGGAGGGGUGUAUUUAUUAGAUAAAAAACCAAUGCCCUUCGGGGCUCUUUGGUGAUUCAUGAUAACUUAACGGAUCGCAUGGCCUUGCGCCGGCGACGGUUCAUUCAAAUUUCUGCCCUAUCAACUUUCGAUGGUAAGGUAUUGGCUUACCAUGGUUUCAACGGGUAACGGGGAAUUAGGGUUCGAUUCCGGAGAGGGAGCCUGAGAAACGGCUACCACAUCCAAGGAAGGCAGCAGGCGCGCAAAUUACCCAAUCCCGACACGGGGAGGUAGUGACAAUAAAUACUGAUACAGGGCUCUUUUGGGUCUUGUAAUCGGAAUGAGUACAAUUUAAACCUCUUAACGAGGAACA
rnacentral:rRNA from 1 species